CCUGACCUUGGCUUUAUGACAUCACCGGGGGGAGUCGGACAUGGUGUCAGUUUGUGUCUUUACCUCUCUGAGUUGGUAAAACAUGCACAUUCUCUAAUGAAAGCUGCCCUAUAAACACAAAGUAUUUCUGUGACUUGGGUUCGCUUUUGGUCCCAGAUCCCACACGGCAGUGCCGUCGCUGAUGAGUUGAACGCAUUUUUUCCUCGAACAUGGGACAGGCCAAGAACAUCUGGCUCCACUGACACACGAAGUUCAUCAUUAUCCAGAAGUCCGAUUCCAGCUAAGGAAACAGAAGCUAUUAAAUGGUGACUGCCUCCAUGUACUCUGAGCCACUAUGUGAGCCAUUGCCUGGGUAUCCCGCUGUAACAGGGUUUGAAACAUCCCAUGAGCCAGCACGGAUUGCCACUAACAGAUGUCAGAUUUUCAGUAAUGUCUGAAAAAAACCAAACAGGAUGUAAUGGAGGAGUUAAAAGUGGAAAGUUUUAUGUAGUCGCUGCCAGGUUGGGUGGUGAAACUGGUCGGAUGAGAGGAAGGAAGAGGGGAAAUAAGAGAGCAAGGCUGGUGUCUAGCAUUUUUUUUUUAAUGAGACAGUAAGUCUAGUAGGGGUAAAUCUCUCAUCCUAUAGAAAUUAAUAAUAGGAUUAAACUUGGCUGAACACAGUGCAAAUAGUGAGAUUUACUUUCUUGGAGGUUGGAGUAGGCCUGGCAGCCCACUCAACUCAAAACGCAUGGUUGGAUUAUUAUUAUUACUUCAAAUC